UACGUAGGGUGCGAGCGUUAAUCGGAAUUACUGGGCGUAAAGCGUGCGCAGGCGGUUCGCUAAGACCGAUGUGAAAUCCCCGGGCUUAACCUGGGAACUGCAUUGGUGACUGGCGGGCUAGAGUAUGGCAGAGGGGGGUAGAAUUCCACGUGUAGCAGUGAAAUGCGUAGAGAUGUGGAGGAACACCGAUGGCGAAGGCAGCCUCCUGGGCCAGCACUGACGCUCAUGCACGAAAGCGUGGGGAGCAAACAGG
rnacentral:rRNA from 1 species